rnacentral:rRNA from 1 species
UACAGAGGAUGCAAGCGUUAUCCGGAAUGAUUGGGCGUAAAGCGUCUGUAGGUGGCUUUUUAAGUCCGCCGUCAAAUCCCAGGGCUCAACUCUGGACAGGCGGUGGAAACUACCAAGCUGGAGUACGGUAGGGGCAGAGGGAAUUCCUGGUGUAGCGGUGAAAUGCGCAGAUAUCAGGAGGAACACCGGUGGCGAAGGCGGGUCUCUGGGCCGAUAUCGACGCUGAGGAGCGAAAGCGUGGGGAGCGAACAGG